UGUGCGAUGAGGUCUCUCUAGGGUGUGGU
rnacentral:piRNA from 1 species